rnacentral:misc_RNA from 1 species
UCUCCGUUGGUGAACCAGCGGAGGGAUCAUUACCGAGUUUUCUACUCCCAAACCCCUGUGAACUUAUACCUUUACCGUUGCUUCGGCGGGUUAACGCCCCGGAAAGGCCCCCGAAAGGGAGCCGCCCCGGAACCAGGCGCCCGCCGGGGGACCCAAACUCUUGUAUUCUCUUACCUAGCAUGUCUGAGUGGAAUCAUAAACAAAUGAAUCAAAACUUUCAACAACGGAUCUCUUGGUUCUG